CAUACUCUCUUCUUUUUCCUACUCUCUCUCUCCCCCUACCUUUGCAGCUUAAUUAGUUAGCUACCCACCUUCAUCAUCUUCUUGAAGAUGAAUCAUAGCCAAAACGAUGCGUUCCACAAGACCGGUGGCGGCAGCGGCGACGAUGAAGGAUGUUAUGUCCACCGGAGACGGUGGCGUUGGUGAUGUCAAAUAACGCAACACAACACAAGAAAACGAAAAGGCUUUGCAAUUACGCUCUCCUGAGUUUCUAGCCCCCUCUGGUACGUACGUGCGAGAGGGGCAGAAUUGGGAGAUCGUUAUUAUUGCAUUGCGGGGAAUUGAGGCAUGGGAUGUAAGAGAUGCAUACGAGGUUAUAGCUAUGAGCUUCUGAGGUGGGUUUGGUUCAAAGUUUGGAUUUUUGGGACCAUAUUUCAUGUUUGAAGGGUUUUGAUCUCUCUUUAGAGAGAGAGAGAGAGAAGGAUAGAGAGAGAGGGACUUGGUUUGUUGUUAGUAUUGAUGCUGCUUGGCAUGCAUCACUUACACCCAUCAAUGAUAUGCAUUUUUAUUUUGCUUUUUCUUUUU